UACGUAGGGGGCGAGCGUUAAUCGGAAUUACUGGGCGUAAAGCGUGCGCAGGCGGUCCGCAAAGUCUGAUGUGAAAGCCCCGGGCUCAACCUGGGAACUGCAUUGGAAACUAACGGGCUCGAGUGUGGCAGAGGGGGGUGGAAUUCCACGUGUAGCAGUGAAAUGCGUAGAGAUGUGGAGGAACACCGAUGGCGAAGGCAGCCCCCUGGGCUAACACUGACGCUCAGGCACGAAAGCGUGGGGAGCAAACAGG
rnacentral:rRNA from 1 species